rnacentral:rRNA from 1 species
UACGUAGGGGGCGAGCGUUGUCCGGAAUCAUUGGGCGUAAAGAGCUCGUAGGCGGCUCGGUAAGUCGGGUGUGAAACCCCCAGGCUCAACCUGGGGACGCCACCCGAUACUGCUGUGGCUAGAGUCCAGUAGGGGAGUGUGGAAUUCCUGGUGUAGCGGUGAAAUGCGCAGAUAUCAGGAGGAACACCAAUUGCGAAGGCAGCUCGCUGGGACGUUACUGACGCUGAGACGCGAAAGCGUGGGGAGCAAACAGG